rnacentral:rRNA from 1 species
GACGAACGCUGGCGGCGGGCUUAACACAUGCAAGUCGAACGGAAAGGCCCUGCUUUUGUGGGGUUCUCGAGUGGCGAACGCGUGAGUAACACGUGAGUAACCUGCCCUUGACUUUGGGAUAACUUCAGGAAACUGGGGCUAAUACCGGAUAGGAGCUCCUGCUGCAUGGUGGGGGUUGGAAAGUUUAGGCUGUUGGGGAUGGAUUCGCGGCUUAUCAGCUUGUUGGUGGGGUAGUGGCUUACCAAGGCUUUGACGGGUAGCCGGCAUGAGAGGGUGGCCGGCCACAUUGGGACUGAGAGACGGCCCAGUGUCCUACGGGAGGCAGCAGUGGGGAAUAUUGCACAAUGGGCGCAAGCCUGAUGAAGCAACGCCGCGUGCGGGAUGACGGCCUUCGGGGUGUAAACCGCUUUCGACUGUGACGAAGCGGGAGUGACGGUAAUGAGUAAAGAAGCACCGGCUAACUACGUG